AAGUGGGCGAGUACCAUGACAAAAUCAGCAACAGAUCAAGCAGGUGACAGGCUGUGGGGAAGAAAAGUCAAUCUAUGAGUUUGGAAAAUGCAACAGUCACUGAGGUCUGAUCCACGAGUGAGGGUCACGACGGAACGGCGCCAAUCUGUGUGCUGAUUUACUUGGUUUCCAUAGCAACAGAGAACUGUGGCACCAUUGUGGAGCUUUAAUAAAGUCUGCCUCCAACCACUUCACAUUAAUUUAGCAGACUUCGCCAGCUGAGAUACCUAGGGUGGAUCAAUACCUGAGAUACCUUGGGUGGAAGCGCUUAACUGAGGCUCUUGCAACACCAGAACAAGUCGGAUUACGGAAUUUGCUAUCUGUAAGAGAACAUUCCAUGCUCUUUAAUAUCCAUGUGAAGCUGCUGGAAGUAGUCAUUAGGAACUUUGGGGCAAGGUGCCAGUAGUCUGCUGAGAACAUUCACCUGUGUUUCUUCACAACAUCUGAAUCAGGAGAGGACACAGUGGUGAAAUGGAAGAGGAAAGACAAGCUGAGCUUGAAUCCUGGCAAGUCAGAGGCUCUGUGGGCAAGUGGUUCCCGUGUCUGAAAAAAGGUCAAGUGCUUGGAGGUGCCCCAAAAGUUUGGGGGUGUUUCUGAAUCCAGUUUUGUCUCUGGAGGCCCAGGUCACUUCAAUGGCUAGAAGUGCCUUUUACCAGCUGCAACUUGUACAACAGCUACGAUGGUUCCUGGACUGAGAAAACUUGGCUACAGUAGUUUAUGUGUUGUUUACUUCAAGAUUGUAUUACUGCAAUGUGCUCCAUGUGGGGAUUCCUUUGCACUUGAUCCAGAAUGGAGGGCCCAGUCAAGUUAAAGCUUUGUGGCAGAGCCACCUAAAAUGUGAUCAUGCUACAAAGGCAUAAUAAAUUAAUUUGGCAAAAAAAGUAACAAACUAGAGCCCUUGACUUAAAGGUUCAGAUGUGAAACUGCUGCAGUUGCUCCCUAUAGAAAAUGUCUCACAUACCAAUAAUUAAGCUAAACCUAAGUCACCUGUGUUAACCAUGAUAUGUGAGAAUUACCUACAAUAAAAGACUCAUUUUCUGUGCAA